AGCUACACUACAUGCUACACUGCAAAAGUAGCUUGCCACAUCAAAGCUACAUUUAACAGCAUUUCUAUCUAUUGGCCCACAUGUAUAAUAUCAGUGUUAAUGUAACUGAGAGUGUACACAUGGACCCAGUGAGAGAACUACAUGUCUUCAACUCAUCACUGAGCUUGUUCCACCACUUAACUCCUAAAACUGUGAUACAUUUGCAUUUUAUAUCCCUUCUUACUUUACCUAUUUCAAAAAUCAAUAUCCCCCGUAAAUGAUAGUUUUCUCCUCUUAAUUGAAAUAACCUAAGAAUACAAGCUGGAAGACUGUUGCUGUAAACAUUUCCACAAACUUCAACACAAUAUGUUAAAUAUGGAAAAAUAAAAGAAUAAUAUAACUGUGGAGAGGGGCGUGGCCUACGCGUUCCCUGCGGGCGGGGCGUGUGCAGGGGCCGGCCAGGAAGCAGCAUACAGGUGAGCAGAUACCUCAGCUGGAGCGAGUGAUCCAAUCACCUGUUCCCUUUAUCAGCAGCGUUGGAAAUCUUGAGGGGAAAGAUGAUGAGAGUGACGGAGAGAGAAAGACACACACGGCGAGAUACAGUGAACAAACUAGAGAGCACUGGACUGAUGCAGUUGCAUGUACUGCCAUCAAUAAAAGUGUAAAUCACUGAGACCGAGUGUGGUGAUUCCAGCCAAACAACGGGGGAUCUGGGACAGAGACCUUCCACAGUGGCGCCCAACUAAGGACGAAUCCAGGAAAGAAUUCGGCACCAAACCCCUUGGAAGCGCUUGGACAAGUGCUGGCGCAAGUAUCAGCAGCAAGUCAGCAACAAUCGCGACAUGAAACGCAUGGUAGAGGGGGAGGAUCCUCAAACAUUCCUGGACGUGUUCGUGGCGUCAAACAGGUGGCCGGAAGAAGAGUGGGGAGCCAAACUGCUGCCGCUCCUGGUGGGGGAGGCGCAGCGGGCGGUGUUGAGUCUCUCGGCAUCUGCCCACCUGCAAUACACCAACCUCUGUUAAGCCAUCCUGGACCGGAUCGGCAGCAGCUGACGCUGAUUUAGAGCGAUGACGCUGGAGCCAGAAGACCGAGCGUUCGUGUUCGCCUACCGGCUGAGGGACGCAGCGACCCGCUGGCUCCGGCCCAAUGGACAGGAUCCAGGUGUGCUGGAAAGCAUCGUUUUGGAGCGGUUCCUGGACGCCAUCCCGGCUAGGACAUGAGCGUGGGUGAGAUACCACAGCCCCCCGAGCGUAAAAGCAGCGGUGAGGUUGGCGGAGGAACACCUAGCAGUGCAGAGGGAGGCAACCCCGAGGACGGCCGCAGGAUCCACCCCAGCACCCCGGCGUCAACUCGCCCCGCGAUGGGGGGGUAUGGAGCGGGCAAGAUCGCCCGGGCAUAAAGACCAGGUUUUCCUGGUGGCCACACAAACACUUACACACACACACGCAGGCACGCACACACGCACACACACACCACUAACGUUGGGACACGGGUUAACAAUAAAUCUGAUGUGUGCAUGUUCCAGGUUCCCAGUGCUGCGGCGAGAGGGCUUCCCUUGCAGAGGGCACCUCAACUUCCAGGGCUGGUGUGCUGGGGGUGCAGACAACCCGGUCACGUGCGCAGGGAUUGCUCCAUGAUGGAGGUGGGGCGGGCAAUGCGGGUUGUUGAGCCGCCAGCACCCGCCCCCGAUCCAGGAGAGACAUACUACGUCCCGCAGCGUUGGAGAUCUUAAGGGGAAAGAUGAUGAAAGUGACGGAGAGAGAAAGACACAGACGGCGAGAUACAGUGAACAAACUGGAGAGCACUGGACUGAUGCAGUUGCAUGUACUGCCAUCAAUAAAAGUGUAAAUCAC